rnacentral:misc_RNA from 1 species
GCGAAAUGGAUCUUUAACAAGCUAAAAGGAACGCCUAUGAAGAGUUUGACAGAUCUUCUUAGAGAACGCAAUCUCCCACUAGGCCUUUUCCCCCAGAACAUAACAAGUUAUGAAUUAGACGAGUCCAAAUCAAAGCUAACCGUUCACCUUCCCUCCCCAUGUGAGAUAACCUUCAAGGAUGGCUCUGUGAUUAGGUAUGCUACGAGGGUGAAAUGCAUUUUACUAAGAGACAAGCUUAUUGGAAUAGAAGGAAUGAAGACUAAAGUCUUAGUAUGGGUGAAAAUCACAAAUGUGUCUGUUGAAGGCAACAGGUCAGAGAAGGUUUCGUUUACUGCUGGAGUAAAGAAAUCAAGGCCAAGAGAAGCUUAUGACAUUCCUCGCGAUGCAGUUGCAGUAAAAGAGUUUUGAGAGUCCGAUUAUUCAUACAAGUACAAAUCCUCAACGAUCAAAAAGAUCAUCGAGUAGGCUAUGUUUUCAUGGUUUUCUUGGUCGCUCACUUCUCAUCGUUCCAAUGAACACUUCAGGAAUGAAUUAUAUGGAAACAAGUUACAAAAUGGUGUUUGGCAGUUUAGC